rnacentral:rRNA from 1 species
AGGAUGAACGCUGGCGGCGUGCCUAACACAUGCAAGUCGAGCGGAAAGGCCCUUCGGGGUACUCGAGCGGCGAACGGGUGAGUAACACGUGAGUAAUCUGCCUUCAGCUCUGGGAUAGCUCCGGGAAACCGGGAUUAAUACCGGAUAUGACCACUUCGGACAUCUGUUGUGGUGGAAAGUUUUUCGGCUGGAGAUGAGCUCGCGGCCUAUCAGCUUGUUGGUGGGUAAAGGCCUACAAGGCGACGACGGGUA